rnacentral:lncRNA from 10 species
UGAAGCAAGAAGGCACAUUGGAAAGGUCUAUGUUUCCAGUAUAAGACAGGGAGCUGAGGAUGUCUCCCCACUGCCCAAUAAUCAGGAAUUGAAGGCAGCCUCUCACAGACAGUCAGCAAGAAUCUGAGGCCUUCAGCCCAACAAGCCAGAAGGAAAUGAAUUCGCUAACAACCACAUGACACUGGAAGCAGACCUUUCUCCAAUUGAGAAGAGACCACAGUCCUGGUCAACAUCUAGGUUGCAGCUUUCAGAUGAGACCCUGAGCCAGAGGACCCAACAAAGCCAUGCACAGACUCCUGACCCACGGAAGUGAAACAUGACUCCUACAGUCACCACGGAGUGUUUGAGUGACACGAAGUCUCCAUGUCAUGGAUGGCCAGGCAGCUGCUGAAUGAGGCAUGCUCACGUUCUGAUUCCCCAGAUUAAUCAACCUCACUCCUGCCAUCUAUUCCAUCCCUCUGCAAUCUCCUACUCACUUGAAUAUCAUAAGUCUACGUUUUUUUGUCCACAAGGAGAAAAUAAUUCUUAUAACUUUAGUCCCUAGACUGUUACUUUUCAAAGUAUUCUUUAGGGAACAGAAAGAGAAUGCAUCAAAUCAUGUCUGCAGCUACUGUCCCUACUGAAAUGUGGCACAUCUUGUGUGCCAUUAGCCCCCAUGGCUUUAUAUUCUUUUCCACAAAACCAUUACUCAUGUUUUUAUUUUCUGCCCUGUUUCCCUCAGCCUGAGUUGCAUUUUUAAAAAUGAUAUCUCAAGAUCUUUAAGACACCUACAGUGGUUACCCUUUUAUUAGUCCUCCUGUUCAAGCCUUGGCAUGAAAAAUUUAAGACCUCAGAUCUCCUAAAAAUCAUGUGUGUAUAAUUACGUUUAAUUUUGUUUGGAACAAUAUUUAAGUGUAAAUUUCCUAUGAGAAAAGAAGAGCCUGGGAUGUAUGCAUUGGAAAAGGAAAGGUGGCCCAUGUCGAGGCAUUUCCACUGGACCAUCUGCCAAGCGAGUCCCUGAGAGCUGACAGUGCUGCGGGCUGAUGGGCUAGCAUGUGCACAAUGAAAGUUCAACCUAGACAGAAACAGCCUUUCAGGGCUGCCUCCCAGGAGGCCACGGAGGACUGUGAUGAUUGACUUGCAGCAGAACCUUGUGCCAUCCCCCAAGCAGUCAGGUGAUGUGCUAUUUAGAAAACACCUCAGAGCCAGGGCAACGAGGAAAUGAUGGUUGAAGCAUCUGCGGGUCUAACAUGGCCAUGGGAGGAGCAUCUCUGUUGUGAUGUUCAUGUCAUAUCAAGAACUCUUUCUAUCUAAGGUGGAAAGUGUGGUCUUGUGGAAGAGAGUGGGGAGUGAGAAGGAGGAACCUGGGACCUCUGCCCCUGUAUGCCCUGCACAAGCCCCUCCCUGCUCUGGAACUCAUUUGCCUCUCCUGUGAAAUUGCAAGAGAAGUAGGGGCUUUCUAAGCAUGGCCCUCCAACUCCUUGAUCAUUCUAGGAAUCUCUGAUACUUUCAUGUGAAUGAAGUGGGAUGGACGUUCUUAAUGAGCUUCUGCCAGUCUCACAAUUCCUAUAGUUUAACUUAAAAAAAAAUCAAGGAAAACAAAGACUGGAGAAAUUAAUGAUGAAAAUGCAGUCUGGCCAUUUCUUUAUUUCAAUUUUCCUGUCAUCCUUAUGUCCCUAAACCAGGGAUAAUAACAAGUUAGCAGGUAUAUUUCUUUACAAUAACAUAAGUCUGCCAAAAUAUUUUCAAGUUUCUUGUUUGACCUUGCUGAAGGCAACAUGAGCUCUUACAGCUGACAGAUCAUCUCAAGCCCAAGCCUCUGUGGUCCCAGAGCAAAGUCCCACUCAGGUCCAGCUGUGGACAGGCAGGUGCCCAUUCAAGGACUGCUUUUCAGGUUUCUUUUCAUAUACUAUCACCCUCAUAUAGUAAAUAAUUAUUUAGCUGUC